rnacentral:misc_RNA from 1 species
GAGUAAUGAUGUGGAACGGCUAUUGAGUACUGAGUGUAUGGACUUCUAACUAGACAAAUGGAAAGACAGCUUCAAUGCUGAGGAAUGGCUCAGGUAAAUGAUUGUAAUUCCGAAAUACUGUUCCUUUAAUUUUCCCUCGCUUACUUUUGGUGAAGUGAAGAAGGCGUAGUUCGACUGAAUACUUGUCUAAAUUCAAGAGCUCAACAAAGGAUACAUUAAAAUGGACGCAAAUAUUGCACUGGUAAAUUCUGGUCUGAUUCGUUAAAAUAACUUAUUUUAUGUCAUGCAAUUUUUUUUCUUUUCGGAUAACAAGAAAAUCAGAAUAUAAAAUGACACGAAACUCGAAUCAGGCUCAUCAUUCAAAGGUAUAAUUCCAAACAUAAAAUUUGCUUUUACCAAGUCCCGAACUUCAACCCCAUAUCAUGCGAUCAACAAUAAUAUUCUUUCACCUUUUUCAGUUACACAAUGAUAAAUUUAUCCACUACAUUUGUUUGCCCCAAAUGAAAGACCACUUGUAUAAUUAGGAUAAACUUGGCCAAUAUAAUGGUUAGGAUGUAAGUUUUCUUCUUUUUUUUUUUUU